ACACUAGUUGAUCUUAUUGAUGACCGAAUUGAUUCUUCUAGUAAGAUCGAUUUGUGU
rnacentral:pre_miRNA from 1 species